GCCGCUGUGACGCCUGCCGGGGCUCGGGGGUGACCUGCCAGGCCCCCUGCGGCCACGCCUUGUGCAGGACGUGUUUUGCCGCCGACAGCCCGCAGCCGGCCUGCUGCAGGGCGGCCCUGAGCUGCGGGAUCACGGGGACGUUCAGGGUCUCCUCCUGGUCCCAGAGUCUGCCUGGCUACUAUCGAGACCCAACGCUCCAGGUUUCCUACAUCAUCCCUGAUGGGGUGCAAGGGGUUGGUGAUCCCCACCCAGGACAGCCUUACAAAGGGGGAAAAUUUUAUGCCUUCCUGCCUGACAACAGGGAAGGGCAGAAGACAGCAUUGCUGCUGAAGAAAGCAUUUGAGCAUGGGCUGACAUUCCAGAUCAAGUCCUUCAAUGGAGAGGAAAGAGUGACAUGGGGCCUUAUCCCCCACAAAACCUCCUGGGAUGGAGGCAAAGACAGGAGCGGCUAUCCGGACGCCCAGUACCUGCGCGAGGUUUGCACGGUGCUGAAGAGCCUGGGCAUCGCCUGAGCCUCCCGCCACGGCCCCGCCUUCGCUUCGCCUUCCUUUCCAGCUGGCAAAACGGCAGCUUAGCACAGAUGGCUCGGGAAAAAGCAGGUGUUUGUCCAAGGCGCUCCCGUGUCCCCAGAGGCAGCCAGAAAUCCACACACUAGUGACAGCAGCAACCUCCAUCCCCACCCCCUGCCAGCCUCGGCGUAGAUCAGAGCUUCCCCGAACCUCCAGCUCCUCAGGCCGCGGGGCCUCGCCAGCUUGCACCAGCACCAGCUCCAGGCUGAGCCCAGCCUGGCUUUCGGCGGCACAACCCACGCCCGGGCAGGAGCCUGCCUGUAGCCCAGCUCAUCCCCCACCAGCCGCUGCAGGCAGGUUCCAGCUCAGCCAGAGCCUGGGCCAGAGCCGAGCUGUGCCUGGACUCAGCUGCUCAUCAGACAGAUGGACCCCGGCUGCAGCCCCUCCCCGGCACCCGCUCGGGGCCAGCAGGCAACUGCUGCUCUCUGGGGAGAGCAUUAGUGGCCCAGGACAGCUGCCUCCCCAAGAAGGGACAGUCUUGAAGGGGAGAAACACAAAUAAACAACAUUUGUUCCCGCAUUUCUAGUCGUGGUUGUUCACACCUUGUCCUUCCAUCACCCCAGGCCCCCAUUUCAGUCUCCACUGCCUACAGACACCCUGGACAGAGAGUAAGUGCAGAGGCCAGCUGAGGGGUUUGCAAACAAAAUCCACCAUCCCUGCCCUCCAGAACAGGGCAGUGGAAGUUCAAGUGCACUCCAGGCAACAAUUAACAGCUGGCUUUGAGAGCAGAGGCAUCCUCUCACCCUGUGAGAGUUCGAAUUUAGAAACUGAGCCUGUCCACCCACCGACUGCCUGGAGAAGCAGUAAAAGCAUCCCAGAGGCUGAGCUGCAGGCAGAGGGGAUCAUUCCAACAGAAGAGUGAGCAGCCGAUCACUGAGGGUUUUGUUAUGCUUUUAAUUAACAUUGGAGACACAUAAGGCAUAUGGUAACAUUAGACAGAGGAGCAUUACACAUUAUAGUCAUGUAAACAGCAUUGGCACAUUUGCUUUCUGUCCAACUUGGUUACACGCACAAAGCAGAAUAUAUUUUUUAAACAAAGGCUUUCCAUGUGUCUGUAGGAUGAGCAUCACUCGUAUCACACGUCAGCAAAUCAACACGACUCAGACAGCACAGACCAGACCGUACGUGCGAGAGGCUCACGCAUUUCACAUCAUUACUUGCCCCUCGCGCUUUGCCAUCACCAGGGCUUGGCACGCUGGAGUCGAGAUCAGGCAACAAGAGUGGUUUUACACCUCUGAGAGCAGCUGUAAGUGGGCCAGGAUCCUGCACCAGUUAAAGCCUGAGGCCCACAGUGCUUCUUACUUCUCCCUGGUCGAUGAGCUCUGGUUUAAUACAGGUGUCCGAAAUGCAACCUCCGGCUGAAGUCCUUCCCCGCCUCGGGGCACGGGGCAGAGGCCGUGCUCCUCUGCAGGAGCUGGGGCUGCUUCCACUCCCCUCCCCUCCCACAGUUCCUCAGCACGCAACGUGAGCCAGCUCGAGAGAAACCAGAGUGAAAAGCGUGACAAAAGCUGCCUGGUGACAGCAAAGGAGUCGCAUCUUGCCCAGGUCCUGCAGUACCAGCCUGGGAAGGCGACGGCAGGAGUGGCCCUGGCCCGGGCCCCCCGCGCUGAGCGGCCCCCGGCAGCGGGCAGGGCCACCUCACGCUUCCCCCUUGGACUCUGCACGGCCCAACCUGCGGGUCAGACAAUCAAUAAAAUAAACAUUAAACUGCACUCACAGCUGGAAUGGCACAGGCACCUCUCACUUCCUCAAUAGCACGACUUCACCCUAAACAGUUAAGCAACAUUGAGUGGAAUGAUUUUUAUCCUGGGGUUUUUGUUUGUUCUCUGCUUUGGUCCUUAGUAUACAAACCUGCUGGUUAAUAUUGAAUUAAGACACUUGGAAGUUGUUUUACAUUGGUUCUAUACUUAUUGGCCCAUAAAAUGUUUGUCCAUUAAAAAAAAAAAAAAGGUAGAACAACAAAACCAGAAAACAACCAACCACAAUCGCCCAGAGCAGAGCACUGAUCAGCGAGGCAGUAGAGAGCAAAGUUAUGUUUAAUCUUGGUCUUUCUGUAGAAAAGAUUGUUGCUACCAAGGAACAUAAACCAGUCAGCGCUAAACUCUAACAGAGUCACCGCUCAGCGCUCCCGCCCCGAUCAGGGCUUCAGGAAGGCGUAGGCAGAUACACGAGCAGCUUCCCGAAGAGUCAGGAGCUGGGACGGUUCCCCGAGCACCAAGGGGCGGCAGCAGGUAAAGCCUCACUCGAGGACCAGCCCGCACCCAAGCGCUGCCCUGGGGGAGACGAGGACCGGGGGGCCCAGAGCGGCUGGGACAGCCCCCGAGAGGCUGCACUGAGGGACAGGGAGCGCCUCUGCCAGCGAGUCAGCUACACCAGCGGGACCACAGAGCACUGGCAGGAGUCGUAACAGGUUUUUGGCAAUACUUAGAGAGGCCAGAAUGGAAAAGGCUCCAGUGACUUCCUAGUCCUUACAGGCAUGUGGAAGAAGGCACUGAGAUGCUGUUUUCCGUGGUGUGGCGCGGGGCAGCAGGUCGGGGGGUCCUGCGGGAAGCUGCGAGGCUCCCGCCACCCCCCCCCGCUGCGCUGCGAGAGACCGACCGUGGGCGCCCGGGAGCCAGGGCCCCACGUAAGGCACUGAGCACGCGCCUGGCCGGGCAGGGCAAGGAGGGGAGGGCACUGCGAAGCACAGCGCGAGAGUUUUCCCCUCUGCAAGUGUGCAGAACCUGACGAUGCGCAGGGCUGUGCCGGUGAGCACGCUGCUCUUUCAUCAAGGUGAAGUCCAGUUUCUCGGAGGAACGGGUCCAGACUUCCCAUUUCAGCAAUUUAGACAGUCCUUCUGUUGUCAGACCUGGUAAGGCAGCAUUAGACACUGUUGGAUUUAACCUAAAUUAGCACGACAGGGCAGGCUGAAAGGAGAAGCAGCAAGAUUUUGGCUUCAGAAAGGUUAGAAGUUGUGCUUGUGAGUUUCAUCAGACCAUGUUUAUGAAGUUCACGUAUCAGGUGCGAGAGAUGGACUGAAAAGGAUCUGUCAGGGCUCCAGCCCUCCUCCGAGCUCGCAGGGAAUGGGGUGUCUUGGUGCUUAGAGGCAGCCAGGACCAGCGCCGCAGAGGCCGUGCCUACGCGCUGCGGCAAGGCGCGGGGCUGGGCACGGAGCCCAGGCACAAGCUGCACCGAGACAGGGCCCGGCGGGAGGCUGGAGCUGGCAGGGGAAGGGGCCCCACUCUGCCCAGCACAGGGGUCCCCAGCCCCGCGCUUGGCUGCUCGGAGCCGAGGGGCCUCACAACCUUCCCUC